rnacentral:lncRNA from 1 species
UUUUUAUUCUGCUUGCACUUAGUAUAGGGGUAACUUGAUUUGAACUGAGUUUGCAAAUAAUUUUUAUCCUGAAUUACAAAGUUUUAUAUGGUAACAUCCCUUCUUCGAACAAUGAUAUACAACCACAGGCAGUGGUUUCCUCGGCAUUCAUCUAAUUAUACUAAAUUACCACAUUAUCAUAUAUAUUACCUACCAGAAGCAACACACGUUUUUGUUUACCGUUAUUUAAUUAGUGCCAAUAAAUUCUUCAAAAUAUGUCAACAAA